rnacentral:lncRNA from 1 species
ACAAAAGCGAGUAGUAAUGCACAAUACUCCCUCUAUGCAUAAAAUGCUUUUUAGGAAACAAAAACAACAUGACCACAAAAUACAUUUUAAGAGAGAUUUAUUCACGAAACCUUAAUAAAGUGGACCUCUAUAUUCAAAAUGUUGUUGUGGGUAGAGGAAGUAUUUUAAAAUUCAAAUAUCAUAAAAAAGAAAUAAGUCUAAAGG